GAUGAACGCUGGCGGCGUGCCUAAUACAUGCAAGUCGAGCGAACGGACGAGAAGCUUGCUUCUCUGAUGUUAGCGGCGGACGGGUGAGUAACACGUGGAUAACCUACCUAUAAGACUGGGAUAACUUCGGGAAACCGGAGCUAAUACCGGAUAAUAUUUUGAACCGCAUUGUUCAAAAGUGAAAGACGGUCGUGCGGUCACUUAUAGAUGGAUCCGCGCUGCAUUAGCUAGUUGGUAAGGUAACGGCCUACCAAGGCAACGAUGCAUAACCGACCUGAGAGGGUGAUCGGCCACACGGGAACGGAGACACGGUCCAGACUCCUAAGGGAGGCAGCAGUAGGGAAUCGUCCGCAAUGGGCGAAAGCAUGACGGAGCAACGCCGCGUGAGUGAUGAAGGUCUUCGGAUCGUAAAACUCUGUUAUUAGGGAAGAACAUAUGUGUAAGUAACUGUGCCCAUCGUGACGGUACCUAAUCAGAAAGCCACGGCUAACUACGUG
rnacentral:rRNA from 1 species